AUUGAACGCUGGCGGCAGGCCUAACACAUGCAAGUCGAGCGGAUGCAGAGAGCUUGCUCCUGGAUUCAGCGGGGGACGGGUGGGUAAUUCCUAGGAAUCUCCGUAGUAGUGGGGGCUAACGUCCGGAAACGGGCGCUAAUACCGCAUACGUCCUGACGGAGAACGUGGGGGAUCUUCGGACCUCACGCUCUCACAUGAGUCUAGGUCGGAUUGGCUAGUUUGUAGGGUAAAGGGCUACCAACGCGACGAUCCGGAAAUCGUCUGAGAGGAUGAUCAGUCACACUUGAACUGAGACACGGUUCAGACCCCUACGGGAGGCAGCAGUGGGGAAUAUUUGACAAUGGGCGAAAGCCUGAUUCAGCCAUGACGGGGGUGUGAAGAAGGUCUUCGGAUUGGAAAGCUCUUUAGUUUGGGAGGAAAAGCAGCAAGUUAAUACCUCGCUGUUUUGACGUUACCAAAAGAAUAAGCACCGGCUAACUUCGUG
rnacentral:rRNA from 1 species